CGAAUGAUAUAAAAUCGAUAAACGAUGAUGAUGGUUCUAAAUAAACAAUAAAGGUUCAUCACAAUCUAUACUUAUCCCAAGCAAAAAAGUCAUAAAUCAAAUGUUUUACCUCGUAUUUAGGCCACUUCCACGUACAAAAAACUACAAACUAUAUAUUGUAUAUGACCAAGCACAUGGAAUAAACAACUGCCCCUAACACAUCCGGGCAUCUACAUAAAUUAUCAUAAAUUACCGUCUCGAUCCUAUAUUCAUUAUGUUUGGUUUUUUAGUGUGCAUGAACACUAUUAAGUUAAAGGAGGAAGCAUUUAUAAUGCAGGUACAUUAUUUGAUAAUUCUGAAGACCAUCCAGAGUCAACAGGUGUAUAUAGAAACAAGUAAAUAGAG